UGGGGAAUAUUGCACAAUGGGGGAAACCCUGAUGCAGCGACGCCGCGUGAACGAAGAAGGUAUUCGUAUCGUAAAGUUCUGUCCUAUGGGAAGAUAAUGACAGUACCAUAGAAGAAAGCUCCGGCUAAAUACGUGCCAGCAGCCGCGGUAAUACGUAUGGAGCGAGCGUUGUCCGGAAUUAUUGGGCGUAAAGGGUACGCAGGCGGUUUAAUAAGUCGAAUGUUAAAGAUCGGGGCUCAACCCCGCAAAGCAUUGGAAACUGAUAAACUUGAGUAGUGGAGAGGAAAGUGGAAUUCCUAGUGUAGUGGUGAAAUACGUAGAUAUUAGGAGGAAUACCAGUAGCGGAGGCGACUUUCUGGACACAAACUGACGCUGAGGUACGAAAGCGUGGGGAGCAAACAGG
rnacentral:rRNA from 1 species